UACGUAGGGGGCAAGCGUUGUCCGGAAUCAUUGGGCGUAAAGCGCGUGUAGGCGGCCAGAUAAGUCCGCUGUGAAAUCUCGAGGCUCAACUUCGAGCUGUCGGUGGAAACUGUCUGGCUAGAGUCCGGAAGAGGAGAAUGGAAUUCCUGGUGUAGCGGUGAAAUGCGCAGAUAUCAGGAAGAACACCCGUGGCGAAGGCGGUUCUCUGGGACGGUACUGACGCUGAGGCGCGAAAGCCAGGGGAGCAAACGGG
rnacentral:rRNA from 1 species